rnacentral:lncRNA from 10 species
CUGCAGUGCCCUCUCCAAGGGGGAUCAGCUAAAAUGCCUUCCAUUGCAUGGAUCCUGAGCUCCCCCGACAGCAUAUAAGAGAGUACGAAUUCCAUCUGCCGUGUUCACAGCGCCAUCCCCAGAACCUACAACAGUGUCGGCUUCUAGUAGGUGAUCGCUAAAUAUUUUUUGAGUAAAUAAACGAAUGACUCAUGUCGUGCUGGAGGGGGACUGUGGGACAAGCAUCCAGGAGGACUGGAGAUCUCCAGGAGGGACGUCUGAGCAAACAAGAAUGUCCCACACGUGGAGGUCACUAAGCCCAGGCUGUGUCUGAGAUGGUUCUAAGAGAGUAAGAGAGAAUGCACAGAAAGAAACCGGAUCACCUCCUAUGCCCCCAGCGCCUGCACAAAGCCUGGCACACAGCAGGUGUUGCGUGUUGGUUGACUGAAUUAAUAGAUGAACCUGCUCUUCGGCGAGGAGUGAGACUUCCUGUGCAUAAGGGGCUCGAGCAGGAAGACAGCUGGCCGAGAGCGUGCGCUGGGGUCCAGAAGGUUGCCUCAGCUUCACAGGUCACUGCAGGGGCUGCCCCGGAGCCCACUGAACCCAGUUGUAUUAACCAUUUGGUGGCUGACAAGGAGCUGAUCUUGGGUCCUGAAGAAAGGAAUGGAUGGAUCUUGGCCCAGGACAGCUGCUGUGAAAGGUCCCUUUAGACGAGAGAAGCCACACCCAUUCACUUACUGGACCCAGGCUGGUGGUGGAGUCAUAAAAGUGGCCCUGGACCCAGAAGAGGAGGCCAUGCCCAGACGCACUACCAUCAGCCAGGGGCGUUGAGAUUCCGUCCCAGGACAAUGAUCAUCAGCCUGACUUCCGAUUCUGAUUCAGGGAGUUAAUGGCAAAGCUGAGACUGGAGGCUGGGCCACUGGACCUUUCUACAAGAUCCUUCCAGUCUCUCCUUGAUCUUGACUUUGUUAACAUUUUAACUCUUUCAUAACUGUUUGCAGAGGAUCAGAAAGACAGAGCCCACACUGUGUGCCUGGGCUUGUGCCCCUUGCAGAUACGGGUGGUCCUGCAGGCAACAUGAUCUUCUCAGGGCACUUUGAGUGGACUUCGGGUCAGAGGGAACAACGCUGGCUAACGGGGCUGUUACUCUGUACUGGGCCCUGGGCCAGAUGCUUCAUGUGCAUUAACUCACUGGAUCCUCACAACAGUAUCCCCACUGUGCAGAUGAAAACGCCGAGGCACAGAGAGGUUAUGUAAUUUGCCCAUGGUCACACAGCUAGUGAGUGGUGAAGCCAGGAUCAAACCCAGGCAGUCUGGCGCCUCAGCCUGAGCUCUUCCCAUCACUCCAGAGAGCCUGUGCCAGGUCUUGGGAAACAGGCAGGGAAUAGUCUGUUGAUGUUUCCUGGGUGCCCUGCUGCCACUGCCCUGGCUCAGCCCACAUCUCUCGCACCUGACCGCAUUCCAGCCUCUCCACUGAGUACCAUGGCUGUAGCGUAGCCCACCCAACCAUCCGCUACUCCCGCCUGCAGGACCAUGCCAACACAGAGAGCCUCCUGACACGACACUCCCGUUGUUCCUCCCCAGCCCUCUUUAAUGGCUCCCAAUUGUCUGAUUUCUGGGUGUUCCCAACCCAUCUAGUCUGAUCUCCCACCACACCUUUCAUGGAUCCUGACAGCCAAACAAGGAUUUACCAACUUGUUCAUACAACACUUUUCCCACCUUCCAGCCUUUAUCCAAGCUGUUCUUCCUGCCUGGAAUGCCUGUUCUCACCCGCCCAUGGCUCUUUCAUGACUGCUUCCCAGGCCCUGUGCUUGGCAGGUGCUCACCAACGGGAUACUAUGUGUCCAUGUUGCUUUGUUGCAGAGGAAUUUUUAUUUUUUCUCUUUCUGGAUCCUAAAAAGAAUACAAGUUCACAUUAGAAAAUCUGGAAAAUUGAGACAAUCUCUCAGAGAAAAAUUAAAGAUAGCCUGAAAUCCUACAUCCACUGUCAAUAUUUUGAUAUAUAUCUUUUCAAUCUUUCUUUUCAUUUUUAAUAUUGUGAAAUAUUUCAAACACAGACAGAAUGGAGAAUAAUAUAACAUUCUCUGGUGCAUCCACCUUUUCUUUUAUCAACCCAGUAGUUUUUCUUUUCUUUUUUUUUUAUUAUUAUACUUUAAGUUUUAGGGUACAUGUGCACAAUGUGUAGGUUAGUUACAUAUGUAUACAUGUGACAUGCGGGUGUGCUGCACCCACUAACUCAUCAUCUAGCAUUAGGUAUAUCUCCCAAUGCUCUCCCUCCCUCCUCCCCCCACCCGACAACAGUCCCCAGAGUGUGAUGUUCCCCUUCCUGUGUCCAUGUGUUCUCAUUGUUCAAUUCCCACCUAUGAGUGAGAAUAUGCGGUGUUUGGUUUUUUUGUUCUUGCAAUAGUUUACUGAGAAUGAUGAUUUCCAAUUUCAUCCAUGUCCCUACAAAGGACAUGAACUCAUCAUUUUUUAUGGCUGCAUAGUAUUCCAUGGUGUAUAUGUGCCACAUUUUCUUUUUUUUUUUUUUUGAGACGGAGUCUCGCUCUGUCGCCCAGGCCGGGCUGCGGACUGCAGUGGCGCAAUCUCGGCUCACUGCAAGCUCCG